rnacentral:misc_RNA from 1 species
CGUAGGUGAACCUGCGGAAGGAUCAUUAGCAAAUCCUAGCCGUUGCCCAUGUUUGGCAAUGGUGAAGCACCGUGCACUGGGGACCGGAGAUGGGAGAGCCCCCACUCGACAUGUUGGAGGUGUACAGCCGGCCAGAUGCUGCACUUAAAUCAGCAGGAAUCACCACCGCCUGCUGGGCCUCCACUCGAGUUCUCCUGUCUUUGGUUUUUUUUUUGGUUUUAGUUUUUUUUACAGACUUUUGCGUUGGUUGGUGUUGUGCGUUGGUUGAAAAAUUUGACAACUUCUGACGGUGGAUCUCUUGGCUCGUGCAUCGAUGAAGAACGCAGCAAGCUGCGAUACCUAGUGUGAAUUGCAGAAUUCAGUGAAUCAUCGAGUCUUUGAACGCAAAUGGCGCCCCCGGGGUCUCCUCGGGAGCAGGUCUGUCCGAGCGUCUGCCAACAUAAUCCAUUGUCACUGCCACAAUGGUGUGAUGAGAUUGAGGGGCUGUGUUGUGCAACACUGUAGUGCCACUCACCCCUUGAAGGAAAAUGUCUGUGCAGUCGACGUUGGGCCGUGGUAGUCUGCGGUGAGAUCGUCGUCACAACGGUGUAAUGUGUUGUUUCGUCGUUUCUUGUCGAAUUUGCUGUCACCRGUGUCCCCACGGAUCUGCCAGCAUCAGGCCGA